rnacentral:rRNA from 1 species
UACGUAGGUGGCAAGCGUUGUCCGGAUUUACUGGGCGUAAAGGAUGCGUAGGCGGACAUUUAAGUCAGAUGUGAAAUACCCGAGCUUAACUUGGGUGCUGCAUUUGAAACUGGGUGUCUAGAGUGCAGGAGAGGUAAGUGGAAUUCCUAGUGUAGCGGUGAAAUGCGUAGAGAUUAGGAAGAACACCAGUGGUGAAGGCGACUUACUGGACUGUAACUGACGCUGAGGCAUGAAAGCGUGGGGAGCAAACAGG